CCCUUAGACGUUCUGGGCCGCACGCGCGCUACAAUGAUGUAUCCAAUUAGAUAGCCAAAUGAGAUAUCAAUAAGGAAAGCAAUUAGUCUUCAUCGUGGCUGGGAUAGAUCCUUGGAAUUUUUGAUCUUUAACGGGGAGUGUCUUGUAAGCAUGAGUUAUCAUCUGAUGCUGAAUACGUCCCUGCCCUUUGUACACACCGCCCGUCGCUCCAUCUGAUUGGGUGUGCAGGUGAAACUGGUCUUAUAUGUAAACAAUUCGUUUAAAGAGCAAGUGAACAGGCCCACUAAGAAGAAGGAGAAGGCGUAACA
rnacentral:rRNA from 1 species